GGAGACCGUUUAAAUAGUGAGAUAUUAAAUCCACUAUUCAUAUUGCUUUGAAAUAUGUGCAUUUUAUUUGAUGGAUGGUGAGCCAACGAGUUAUUAUUGCUAGCGGGUCAGGUCAUUACAAUUGGUAUCAGAGCAAGUUCAACAGCAGGAAGUGUGAGAUGAGUCUUAGCUGAGGCAGGGUCGAAAUGACAGACUGAGCCAGGGUCAGUGAAUGACAGGCUAAGUCAAAGUCAGAAUGAUAAAGCUAGCGAGGCAAGUCUACCAUGGGCAAUAUUAUAUGAUCAAAAUGAAGAUUCCCAAACAUAAUAGACUUUUAUUUAAAAUUGUACUGCGUCAAACUUUGGCUAAAUUGACAAAAUGUAUAUUAAAGGCGUGUUAAACAUGAUUAAAAUGAGUUUCGGAGAGUUUAGAGUGAGUUUGGAUCGAAUUAAAACGAAUUUGGAUCGAAACAGACUUCAAACUCUCGAAUCGGAGCUUCUAUACCACUUUUGAACACUUAGAAUAAGAAUCGGGUGCCUAGAAAUAGUUAUUGAUGGGCCCUUGAAGAGCCCAAAACAUUUGGACUCUCUUCAAGAGAGUUGGAUUUGUGGGAGUUUAAGAUUCGGACGCUUGGAAGACCUAGUGGGCACCCAUAUGUGAUUUUGAAUUCUAUUUGCGGAUGUCCGGAAAUAUUUCGGGCCCUCAACCUUAGAACUCAGGUGCAUGUUAUGACACCCCAAUAGUCCUAAUAGGAAUGAGAUUAUAAUAAUAACUGAAUUUAAGCAUUUUGGACAAGUGUUUUGGGCCUAAUGAGUAAUUAUUACUAGAAGGCCGGGUCGUCACAUUUGGUAUCAGAGCCUAUCAUUAGUCGGAAAUUGUGAGAUAAUUCUCAAUUAAAUUAGGGUCGGAAUGACAGACUAAGCCAGAAUCUAAAUAAUAAGGUGUCAGGUUAAGUCAAGAUCGAAAUGACAAGGCUAAUAAGACAAGUCUGACAUCACUUAGUGAUCUUAGGCUCUGUUUGUGAUUGGGCUGACGAGGACGUUAGGGCCUAAAUGGGAGGAGUCUGUGGCACCUCAAUAGUCCUAUAUCAAUAUGAGAGACUAAGAUAUUAGUAAUAAUAACUGGGGUUAAAUAUUUUGGGUCGGUGGUUUGGGCUCAACGAGUUCUUAUUACUAGUGAGUUGGGUUGUUACAUUUUGUAUGAGAGCUAAUCACUAGCCAAAAGUGUGAGAUAAAUCUUGGUUGAGCCAGGAUCAGAAUGACCGGCUAAGCCAAGGUCAGAAUGAUAAGGUGACAGGCUAACCCAAGGUCAGAAUAACAAGGUUAGCAAACAAGUCUCACAUCACCUGGUUAUCUUAGGUUCUGUGUGUGAUUGGAUUGACGAGGACAUUAGGACUUAAACAGGGGGAGUCUGUGACACCCAUAGUUAGUUAAUUCGGAUUCAGCAAAAAUUCGGUACGGGUAUAAUUCGGAUAAAAUUCGUCUUUUAAUUUUUAAAUUCGUUAAAAAAUACGGCUAAAAAACGGAUUCGGUAAUUAUUCGGAUACGUGAUUUAUACGGAUAUUAUACGUUCACCAAUUAAAAAUUCGGAAUAAAAAAUUCGACUAUAUAAGAAAUAUAUAAUAAUUAAUAUACUAUAUAUAUUAUUAUUAUAAUUUUUGUAUAUAGAUUAAAUAUAUUCAUAUAUUAAUAAUAAACCUUUAUUAAUAAUACAUAAAAUUUAUAUAUUUAAAAAUAUUAAUAAAUAAUUACAAAUUUAUAAACAAAAUAUUGUAUAAAUAUUUUUAUAUAAAAAUAAAAUAAUAUAUAUAAUAAAUGAAUAUAUAUUUAUAAAUAAAAUUUUAUACAUAGUUACACACACACACACGAGAGGGAGGUCCACUGUGGACCUCUCCCUCAUGCGGUCCACGAGGCUGAAAUAGCCUCGUGGACCGCGCGCAUCAAUUUCUCCCAAAAGCCCCGAUUUUUUACUGUUCAUCUUCUUUUUCUGCAGACGACCUCGGGCGAGGAGAUGCGAUCCGGCGCCGCGGCCCUUGCUCCCGGCGCCGGCGAGGGCGGCGGAGGAUGACGACGACGCGAGCGGCGGUGAUGAGAGCGGCGACGACGAGAGCGGCGGUGACGAGAGCGGCGACGACGAGAUCGGCGACAACGCGACCCUCGGCCGUGAGUCGUUGUCGCUGAUUUUUUGUGCGAAUUAUUCGCGAAUCGCGAAUAAUUCGCAAAUAAUCAUUUUUGAUGAAAAGAUCGCGUUUUUUUUCGUAUUUUUCGGAAAAAUACGAAAAACGGCGCUUAAUUCGGAUGUUAAAUAAUACGCGAAUAAUUCGCGUAUUAAUCGCGAAGUAACUAACUAAGGUGACACCUCAAUAGUCCCAUAUCAGAUAGAAAUAAAGUUGUAAUACAAACUGAGUUUAAGGUUUUUGGGCUUGUGGUUUGGGGCUAACGAGUUAUUAUUGCUAGUGAGCUGGGUCGUUACAUGCUUCGACAUUGCAAAUCGAACACCCGAAAUACCCUCUAGUCACUUCAAAAAUAUUUCAGAU
rnacentral:lncRNA from 1 species